rnacentral:rRNA from 1 species
ACGUACACUCCUACGGGAGGCAGCAGUAGGGAAUCUUCCACAAUGGGUGCAAACCUGAUGGAGCAAUGCCGCGUGAGUGAAGAAGGUCUUCGGAUCGUAAAGCUCUGUUGUUAGAGAAGAACACGUGCUAGGUAACUACUAGCGCCUUGACGGUAUCUAACCAGAAAGUCACGGCUAACUACGUGCCAGCAGCCGCGGUAAUACGUAGGUGACAAGCGUUGUCCGGAUUUAUUGGGCGUAAAGGGAGCGCAGGCGGUCUGUUUAGUCUAAUGUGAAAGCCCACGGCUUAACCGUGGAACGGCAUUGGAAACUGACAGACUUGAAUGUAGAAGAGGAAAAUGGAAUUCCAAGUGUAGCGGUGGAAUGCGUAGAUAUUUGGAGGAACACCAGUGGCGAAGGCGAUUUUCUGGUCUAACAUUGACGCUGAGGCUCGAAAGCGUGGGGAGCGAACAGGAUUAGAAACCCCAGUAGUCCCAUGAU